UACGGGGGGGCAAGCGUUGUUCGGAAUUACUGGGCGUAAAGGGCUCGUAGGCGGCCAACUAAGUCAGACGUGAAAUCCCUCGGCUUAACCGGGGAACUGCGUCUGAUACUGGAUGGCUUGAGGUUGGGAGAGGGAUGCGGAAUUCCAGGUGUAGCGGUGAAAUGCGUAGAUAUCUGGAGGAACACCGGUGGCGAAGGCGGCAUCCUGGACCAAUUCUGACGCUGAGGAGCGAAAGCCCAGGGGAGCAAACGGGAUUAGAUACCCGUGG
rnacentral:rRNA from 1 species